GUCAACUUUACCACCUCUUGGCUGGGAGGGGCAGGAAACACAGGCAAAUAGGGUAGCAGAAUCUGGGUCCUGCCUUACAGUGCGCUGACUCACUGUGAACUACAGCGAAAGCAAGCUUAGUGCUCCAUCUCAGCCAGUGCUCCUAUCCAGGUAACAGGCGGUUCAGAACCUGAGGACACUCACCCUGGAGACCUCACCUCUGAGCAUGGAGAUGCCCUGGGUUCCUGAUGCUGCCCUGGGAUCCAGACUCCUCUAUUGUGUGGUCCUUUGCAUCCUGGGAUCAGGUGCAGAGGAUUCAGAAGUCAUACAAACCCCAGAACACCUGAUCAAAGCCAAAGGUUAUCAAGUGACACUGAAAUGCUAUCCCAUGUCUGGACACUUGUCUGUGUACUGGUACCAGCAGAUCCUGGGCCAGGGCCCCCAGCUCCUCUUUCAGUAUUAUAAUGGGGAGCAGAGAGAUAAAGGAGAAGUCCCAAACCGCUUCUCAGCACGGCAGUCCAAGGACUAUCGCUCUGAACUCAACCUGAGUGCCCUGGAGCCGGGGGACUCAGCACUGUACCUCUGUGCCAGCAGCGAUCAAGGCUGUGUGAACACCGGGCAGCUGUCCUUCGGGGAUGGCACCAAGCUGACCGUGCUAGAGGACCUGAGACAGGUGACCAUACCCAAGGUCACUCUGUUUGAGCCUUCAGAAGCAGAGAUCGCCAAGACCCAGAAGGCUACGCUCGUGUGCCUGGCCACAGGCUUCUACCCCGACCACGUGGAGCUGAGCUGGUGGGUGAACGGGAAGGAGGUCCACAAUGGGGUCAGCACAGACCCUCAGCCCUUCAAGGAGCAGCCUGGCGUCAAUGGCUCCAAAUACUGCCUGAGCAGCCGCCUGCGGGUGUCAGCCGCCUUCUGGCACAACCCCCGCAACUACUUCCACUGCCAAGUCCAGUUCUAUGGGAUCGCAGAUGAGGAUGUGUGGAGUUACAAUGAGAUCAAACCUGUGACCCAGAACAUCAGUGCUGGGGUCCGGGGCAAAGCAGAUUGUGGCUUCACCUCAGCGUCCUAUCAACAGGGAGUCCUGUCUGCUACCGUGCUCUAUGAAAUCCUGUUGGGGAAGGCCACCCUCUACGCUGUGCUGGUCAGCGCCCUUGUGCUGAUGGCCAUGGUCAAGAAGAAGAAUCCCUGACGCCAGCUCUAAGAGUGUACCUGAGUCAUUCUUCAUCCUUAUCCUCUCCUGCACCUGUUUCUAAUAUGUGCUCAUGAAGAGUUAUUCCCUCUGUGCCUCUCCCCUCCUGUCUUUCCUUUUGGCUGCCUCACAGAUUUAGCUCCCAACUCUGAAUAUGAAAUGAAAUAAACUAAUACAAAUGGU